GUGGGGAAUAUUGCACAAUGGGCGCAAGCCUGAUGCAGCGACGCCGCGUGGAGGAAGAAGGUCUUCGGAUUGUAAACUCCUGUUGUUGAGGAAGAUAAUGACGGUACUCAACAAGGAAGUGACGGCUAACUACGUGCCAGCAGCCGCGGUAAAACGUAGGUCACAAGCGUUGUCCGGAAUUACUGGGUGUAAAGGGAGCGCAGGCGGGAGAACAAGUUGGAAGUGAAAUCCAUGGGCUCAACCCAUGAACUGCUUUCAAAACUGUUUUUCUUGAGUAGUGCAGAGGUAGGCGGAAUUCCCGGUGUAGCGGUGGAAUGCGUAGAUAUCGGGAGGAACACCAGUGGCGAAGGCGGCCUACUGGGCACCAACUGACGCUGAGGCUCGAAAGUGUGGGUAGCAAACAGGAUUAGAUACCCGUGUAGUCC
rnacentral:rRNA from 1 species